rnacentral:lncRNA from 13 species
AUCGGACAGUCAAGACGAUAAUAAUGAUGAAGAUGAUAAUAGUGAUAAUACUGAAGUAAUUGAAAAAAAUGCACCUUCUGCAAACAAGAAAUUGCCAAGAAAAUUACCGACAAACAUGUUGCUCACUGUACAAUCUUCUGCUGAAAAAAUGGAAAAUACAGGUGCUAAUAAGAAUGUACCUAUUUGUGAACAGGCAUUUAUUCCUGAAACGCACGUUGUAAAACAAACUGCGACAAAAAAUUCUACUGGAAAAUGUACAAAAGAUGCCAAGAAGUAAGACGUGACAACAAUGGAAAAACUUGAUUAUAUAAUUGGAUUACUAGAAGAAAAUAUGAAAAAAGACAACGCCAUUUCAGCUGAUUUGGGACGCAUUUGGAAACACAUUAGGAUGGACUUGAGUCCAACGCUAUAAGCCAGUCUGAGAGUGCCAAGAAUGUAUAUAGCUUUAUUCUUUUAAAAGAUGCUACUGACCUAGAUUUACUGGAGGAGCAACUGAAAGCAGAAGAUUUCAAGAAUGCAAUGAUCAACGCACUUAUGAAACGGGGCAGAAAGAAUGUAAAGAUUUAA